GCGCUCGUGUUUCUCUUCAGUUCGUACAAAUCUUUCGCCUUUUACUAAAGAUUUCCGUGGGGAGGAACAACAUGAGUAUUCAUCCAAUUUUUGCUGCUCUGCUUUUAGCAGAGU